rnacentral:rRNA from 1 species
GAGCUCAAAUUUGAAAUCUGGCGUGCUCAGUGCGUCCGAGUUGUAAUCUAUAGAGACGUUUUCCGUGCCGGACCGUGUCCAAGUCCCUUGGAACAGGGUAUCAAAGAGGGUGACAAUCCCGUACUUGACACGACGACCGGUGCUCUGUGAUACGUCUUCUACGAGUCGAGUUGUUUGGGAAUGCAGCUCAAAAUGGGUGGUGAGUUCCAUCUAAAGCUAAAUAUUGGCGAGAGACCGAUAGCGAACAAGUACCGUGAGGGAAAGAUGAAAAGCACUUUGGAAAGAGAGUUAAACAGUACGUGAAAUUGUUGAAAGGGAAACGAUUGAAGUCAGUCGUGACUGAGAGGCUCAGCCGGUUCUGCCGGUCUAUUCCCCUCAGUCGGGUCAACAUCAGUUUUGUCCGGUGGAUAAGGGCAGCAGGAAGGUGGCACCCUCGGGUGUGUUAUAGCCUGUUGUCGCAUACAUCGGAUGAGACUGAGGAAUGCAGCUCGCCUUUAUGGCCGGGGUUCGCCCACGUCCGAGCUUAGGAUGUUGACAUAAUGGCUUUAAACGACCCGUCUUGA